rnacentral:rRNA from 1 species
UACGUAGGGCGCAAGCGUUUGUCCGGAAUUAUUGGGCGUAAAGAGCUCGUAGGCGGUUUGUCGCGUCUGCUGUGAAAACUCGAGGCUCAACCUCGGGCUUGCAGUGGGUACGGGCAGACUAGAGUGCGGUAGGGGGAGACUGGAAUUCCUGGUGUAGCGGUGGAAUGCGCAGAUAUCAGGAGGAACACCGAUGGCGAAGGCAGGUCUCUGGGCCGCA